rnacentral:rRNA from 1 species
AACGAACGCUGGCGGCAUGCCUAACACAUGCAAGUCGAACGAAGCCUUCGGGCUUAGUGGCGCACGGGUGCGUAACGCGUGGGAAUCUGCCCCUUGCUUCGGAAUAACAGUUAGAAAUGACUGCAAAUACCGGAUGAAGUCUUGGACCAAAGAUUUAUCGGCAAGGGAUGAGCCCGCGUAGGAUUAGGUAGUUGGUGGGGUAAAGGCCUACCAAGCCGACGAUCCUUAGCUGGUCUGAGAGGAUGAUCAGACGCACUGGGACUGAGACACAGCCCAGACUCCUACAGGAGGCAGCAGUGGGGAAUAUUGGACAAUGGACGCAAGUCUGAUACAGCAAUGCCGCGUGAGUGAUGAAGGCCUUAGGGUUGUAAAGCUCUUUUACCAGGGAUGAUAAUGACAGUACCUGGAGAAUAAGCUCCGGCUAACUCCGUG